rnacentral:lncRNA from 1 species
AGCUGAGGUGGUUGCUGGGAGAGGUGGUUGCUGGGAGAGCUGUUCCGGCGCUCACGUUCCAAUUCCAAAUUACAAAUUCCGAUCUAGAGCUCCCACGCUUGGGGGCUGUGGAGCGCUCGCCAGCCGCUCCCCGUUUGCUGCUGGGUCUUACGAAGUUCUCAUAUCCAUCAUACAGUUUCUUUGUCACACUGUCCGCGGCACGCCAGUCCCUAUGACAGAAAGCACCUGCGGUCUGUCUGGAGGCGGAGUUGGUGGCGGAGAGAAAAAGUUCUGGAGACACCUGGUUGGGAGCAGGCUAAGGAAACAAAUGGGGAGGAAUUAGCCACAAAUCCUCAAAUAGACAGCUACUCAAAGGCAUCUUCACGGACAAUUUCCAAGCAUUGGAUGCAGUGGUGCAUUCUUGCAUUGGGCAGUGAUUGUGUGCACACAUCUCUUUAAGGGAGAGUGGAAAUGGGGUGAGGAGGAAAAUGGGAGUAGGAUAGAGUGUAGCGUUGACAUUUAUUUUCUUUAAAGGAAGACCCGAGCAUACCUGAGAGCUCAGUGAAGAAAGUAGUUCUGGCGAAUCGGAUUAAUAUGCACCACUGAAACUUGACCUUCGGCCGGCGCGGUGGCUCACGCCUGUAAUCCCAGCACUUUGGGAGGCCGAGAUGGGCGGAUCACGAGGUCAGAAGAUCGAGACCAUCCUGGCUAACACGGUGAAACCCCGUCUCUACUAAAAAUACAAAAAAAUUAGCCGAGCGUGGUGGCGGGCUCCUGUAGUCCCAGCUACUUGGGAGGCUGAGGCAGGAGAAUGGCGUGAACCCGGGAGGCGGAGCUUGCGGUAAGCCGAGAUCGCGCCACUGCACUCCAGCCUGGGCGACUGAGCACGACUCCGUCUCAAAAAAAAAAAAAAAAAAACAAAAAAAAAACUUGACCUUCAUUAUAUCUCACUGCCCUCAUCCCAAACAUUUCCUCUCCCAGUUUUCCAGGAAACGGCAUCGCUGCCCAUCUCUUUUCAGGCCCCAACCCUGGAGAAGAACCUAAAUUUCUCAUUUCCUCACUACCUACCUCCAGUCCUUCAGCAGGUCCCGUUGGUUGGGCUGCUAAACUAUGGGCUAAAUCCUUUCAGUACUUUCCAUGCCCACAGCUACCACUCUGGUCCAAGCCAAAUUCUUAGUUCCCCUGGACUUCUUACUGCAGUAGCCUCUCAGCUUCCACUCUUGGCAAAAUCAAUUUUAUAAAACCUUGAAAUCCCUUAAUACCACUCGUCUGCUUAAACCUCGGCAUCCCACAUUUACCACUAUCAGGAAGGAUCACGUUUGUUUGUUUGCUGUCUCAUUCCCCCAUUUAUAUGUGAAUUCCACGGGUAAGGGCCUGCUCCUACAUCCCACACCUCUACAUCCACAGAGCCUAGAGACCGCAGGCGCGGGGAAAGCACUCCACGACCAUCACUGGCCAGGCCACAAGAGUGCUGGAUCUAAAUUUGGAACCGGACUUUCAGAGCUGAAAUAAACCUGAGGUUUUCCAGGGGCUUUUAACCUCCUUUUACAGCCAAGGAUGCGCCUAAGAAAGGGGAGAGGCUUCCGUGACUUCCUGCAGUAACGCAGCCACUAGAGAUUGAGACUACAACGACUUGGGAGUCUAAAAGUCUGCAACCUUUUCCACUCCAGAGCUCAAUGUUUCCUCAAUCCCCCGGGAUCGGCAUCAGCAAAAACCCGGAGAAGCGGAGCCUUUCUCAAAGAAAAUGACCUCCAGACUCAUGCUACCAUCUCGACCGGUGCAAGUAUCACGCAUGCGCAGGGCCGGCCGCCCGGCCGCACCUCGCCAACUCCUACUCGGACACGUCAUCUAGGUCGGCCUGGGUCUGGUGGGAGGGGCCGGGGGCGGGGCUCGUACGCGGGGCGAAGUGGUCCCCCUACUUCCGGAUCCGGCCUCACCUGGCCAACGCCUCAUUCGGGGUUCCUUGGUUACGUGGCUGCGGUGUCUACCCGGUGCUGGGGCGUGGCGGAGAGAGACCGCCCCGCCCUCCACGCAGGCCACAAAAUGGAGGCCCUGCCCUGUGGGCUUUUGUGGCCUGGGCGCUGUCGUGCCGAAAGACGAAAGUGACAAUUCCAGUUGCAAACUGGAAAGAAAUGGAGUUUUUCCUUCAUUCUCCCCAUGAUCGUGACGGUCCUUUUCUCAAAGUACUAAUACUUUUAAUGGGACUGUAAAACUUGAGGGAUAUGACUCUCUCCUCUCCUCUGCUUCAGAUUGCAUUUGCCAACUCUGAUUUACCGCCAAUACUAUGGUGCUGUCAUAUUCAUAGAGACAGAAAGUAGAGCAGUGGUUGUAGAGAGAGUCUGCAGAAGGAGGGAUGGGGAUUUACUGUUUAAUGGCAUACGGUUUCAGUAUGGGUUGGUGAAAAAGUUGGGAUGAAUGGUGAUGACUGCACAACAAUGCAAAUAUGCUAAUGUCACAGAAGUGUACACUUAAAAAUGGUUAGACGGUAAGUUUUCUAUUAUGUAUAUUUUACCACAAUUUUUUUUUAAAUGCAACAGAGUCUCGCUGUUGCCUAGGCUGGAGUGCAGUGGCAGGAUCUCAGCUCACUGCAACCUCCGCCUUCCAGGUUCAAGCGAUUCUUGUGCCUCAGCCUCCCAAGUAACUGGGAUUACAGGUGCCAGCCACCACGCCCAGCUAAUUUUUGUAUGUUUAGUAGAGAUGGGGUUUCACCAUGUUGGCCAGGCUAGGCUGUUCUCGAACUCCUGAACUCAGGUGAUCCGCCUGCCUUGGUCUCCCCCAGUGCCGAGAUUACACGCGUGAGCCACCACGCCGGGCCCCACAGUUUUUUGUUUUUGUCUUUUAAAUUUUUUUUAACAGCAUUUGUGUCUUUUUUUCUUUUUCUUUUGUUUUUGAAACAGAAUCUCACUCUGUCACCAAGCUGGAGUGCAGUGGCGCCAUCUUGGCUCACUGCAACCUCUGACUCCCUGGUUCAAGCAAUUCUCCUGCCUCAGCCUCUCCAGUAGCUGGGGUUACAGGCACGCACCACCCCGCCCAGCUAAUUUUUGUAUUUUUAGUAGAGAUGGGGUUUCACCAUAUUGGCCAGGGUGGUCUCCAUCUCCUGACCCCGUGAUCCACCUUGCCUUCCCAAAGUGCUGGGAUUACAGGUGUGAGCCACUGCACCCAACCUAAAUGGCAUUUGUUUCUUCCACUCCUCUCUGCCAGAAUAAUUUGGACAGCCUUUUCUGAGUUUCCCAUGACGACUUCUGUAUAAGAUUGUCGGAUAUAGCAAAUAAAAGUACAGUAUACCCAGGUAAAUUUUAAUUUCAGAUGAUCAAUGAAUAAUUUUUUAGUAUAAGUACAUUCCAACUAUUACAUGGGACAUAAGGGUAUUUUAUCUGAUCACCCUACUUUUGUGUCAAGUUAAAAUUAUUAGCAAAAGUGCUUCCGUUUUUAGGAAGUGCACACUGUACUCUAGUAGUUAGGCAGGAGAACAGGGUCUGCGAGCAGGGAACCUAAGGCCGUUUCACACUGACUUCCUAGAGCCAUUUGGAAAGGAAAACCCUAACUUUCCACUCCUAAGUAACAAAAGGCCCAGAGGCCACUCCCUUUGCAAACCCCCACCUUUUCUGUGCCGCAGCUGGAAAAUUGAAAGUGCCUCUGAUUGGUUGCUUUCUGCAACUAAUCAGAUGUUUGCAUAGAGUGUAACUUUGUAACUUCACUUCAGCCUCUGAUUGGUUGCUGUCCCCAACCAAUCAGACUGAUUGUGGGCCAAGGCUUCGUUUGAAUAGAAGUGCAACUUUGUAACUUCACUUUAGCCUCUGAUUGCAGGCCACCACUUCAUUUACAUGGGGUGAGCACCAAGUAAGUGGCCAAUGGGAAACAUCUAGAGGGUAUUUGGACCCGAGAAGAUUCUGUAUCUGGGGCCCUUGAGCUGCUGCUCAGCCUGCUCCCACACUGUGAAGUGUACUUUCACUUUCAAUAAAUCUCUGCUUUCCUUGCUUCAUUCUUUCCUAGCUUUACUGUGCGUUUUGUCCAAUUAUUUGUUCAAAACGCCAAGAACCUGGACAACUUGCUGUCCGCAACCAAUCAGACUGAUUGUGGGCUGAAUCUUCAUUUGCAUGGAAGUGCAACUUUGUAACUUCACUUUAGCCUCUGAUUGCGGGCCACCACUUCAUUUACAUGAGGCAAACACCAAUGCGUUUUGUUCAAUUCUUUGUUCAAAACCCCAAGAAUCUGGACAACUUGCACUCAAGACCCUCUACGGGUUUGGCGAGCCAGUCUUUCAGUGGCUGUUUUCUAGUAGCUCCUUGGCAAUUGAGGGGAACUGGCUGGGACCACUCUCCAGUGCUGUCUGAAGGCCAAGGAGUGAACAGGGAUGGCUGCCCUGCCUUGAAGAGGGAAGGACUCUUUUCUAUCCUUUCCAGCUAUAGUCCCUGAUCCCUACAUGUGAUGCGGUUGGCAGCGGAAGCUCAUCCUGGGCGAACUCACACACUUUUCAGGAGACUUAAACCUUUUCUUAUGCUAAGUUCUUCCCUUCCCCUACUCAUCUGGCUAAAGGACAGACUAUGCAAAAAAGGUUAUACAAGUCAGAGGGUCUGAGCAUGUCGGAGGUGGUCUGUGUGGGGCAUGGGGUGGGGGGAAAAUUCAUGAAAGGCAAUUUAUUGCCUAAAUUUAAAGGGUUAAAGGGUUGCUUUAAGUGGGAUAGAAAAACCUUAAGGAAAGUUCAUAGUAGGUCCUCAGUGGUGGAGUGUUGUGGGAAGUCAGGGACCCUGAAUGAAGGGACUGGCUGAAGCCAUGGCAGAAGAACAUAAACUGUGAAGAUUUCAUGGACAUUUAUUAGUUCCCCAAAUUAACACUUUUAUAAUUUCUUACGCCUGUCUUUACUGCAAUCUCUGAACAUAAAUUGUGAAGAUUUUAUGGACAUUUAUCACUUCCCCAAUCAAUACUCUUGUGAUUUCCUAUGCCUGUCUUUACUUUAAUCUCUUAAUCCCGUCAUCUUCGUAAGCUGAGGAGGAUGUAAGUCGCCUCAGGACCCUGUGAUGAUUGUGUUAACUGCACAAAUUGUUUGUAGAGCAUGUGUGUUUGAACAGUAUCAAAUCUGGGCACCUUAAGAACAGGAUAACAGCAACGUUCAAGGAACAAGGGAGAUAAUCUUAACGUCUGGCUGCCUAUGGGCCGGGCAGAACAGAGCCAUAUUUCUCUUCUUUCUAAAGCAAAUAGGAGAAAUAUCGCUGAAUUCUUUUUCUCAGCAAGGAACAGCCCUGAGACAGAGAAUGUGUGCCUAGGGGUAGUCCUCCAAAAUGGCCACUCUGGGGACGGCUGUCUUUUAUGGUCGUAGAUAAGGGAAGAAAUAAGCCCCGGACUCCCAUAGUGCUCCCAGGCUUAUUAGGACGAGGAAAUUCCCACCUAAUAAAUUUUGGUCAGACUGGUUGUCUGCUCUCAAACCCUGUCUCCUGAUAAGAUGUUAUCAAUGACAAUGCGUGCCCGAAACUUCACUCGCAAUUUUAAUUUCGCCCUGGUCAUGUGGUCCCGUGAUCUCACCCUGCCUCCAUUUGCCUUGUGAUAUUUUAUUACCUUGUGAAGCAUGUGAUCUCUGUGACCCACACCCUAUUCAUACACUCCCUCCCCUUUUGGAAAUCACUAAUAAAAACUUGCUGGUUUUACGGCUUAGGGGGCAUCACAGAACCUGCCGACAUAUGAUGUCUCCCCUGGACACCCAGCUUUAAAAUUUCUCUCUUUGUACUCUUUCCCUUUAUUUCUCAGACCAGCCAACACUUAGGGAAAAUAGAAAAGGACCCACGUGAAAUAUCAGGGGCUGAAUUUCCCCCGAUAGUGGAGGGAACCAUCCCAAAGCAGUGCCAGCCCCCAUCUAAGGUCAGAGACAUCUGACAGACUAAAUCAGGGCCCUAAAGUAGGGACGCCCCUGGGGACCCCAGUCUGGGUUCAGAAUUUUUUCAGGGGGAUGCCCUGGGUAAAGUUUGGGUCACCUAAUGGGCCCUCUACUUUUCAAAGUCCUCUUCUCUGUUCCAGACCACUAUGGGCAACUCUCUAUCUAUUCGACCUGAUUCCACUAUGGGCAAUUCUACACCUGUUCCACCGGAUUCCUCACUUGGCUACAUCAUCCACCAUUGGAAUCAAUUUGACCCUGACACUCUAAAGGGAAAAUGUAUAAUUUUUUUCUGUAAUACUGUUUGGCCCCAUUAUGAGCUGCCCAGCCCCCAGCAAUGGGCAGUCAGUGGUAGCCUUAAUUAUGACACCAUCCUGCAAUUAGACCUACUUUGCAAGAGGCUGGGAAGAUGGUCAGAAGUCCCAUAUGUACAGGCUUUUAUCAAAAUAUCAAAAACCUAACAAUCUGUGAAACUCCCAGAACCCACCCCCCAAAGGAAAGUACUAAGGCAGAACUAGAUAUUAUAGAUGACCCUCUUUUACAAGGGCUAGCUGUCUCUCAGGGUGAACAGCAACCAUCCCCAUAAAGCCCCUUGCCAAGUGCUCCUGAGGCUAAAACCCAGGAGCAAACACCAGGGACCCUACUAAAUCCCCCUCACACUUGGAGAGGAAUGCCAUAUUCAAUUCUCUCUCCAGCCCUGCUACCUCUUAGGGAAGUAGCAGGAACCAAGGGGCCAGUCCUAGUGCAGGCCCCCUUCUCUAUAAUUUAUACAUACAAUAUAAGGAAAAGCUAGGAAACUAUUCUGAGAAUCCUAAGAAACUUGCAGAUGGGUUCCAGCGUUUGACCUUAGCCUCUGAUCUAUCAUGGAGAGAUGUUCAAUUCAUUCUAGCAACCUGUUACACACCCUCAGAAAAGGAAUGAAUCUCUGAGGCCGCCCACCUGCAAGCAAUGAAUUAUUUGCCCAAAACUCUCAGGGCAAUCAUCCCGGCCCAGACACAGUUCCCACUAUUGAUCAUAAUUGGGACUAUAACACUCCUGAGGAAAUGAACAACCGGGCUAAAUUUCUUGAGGCUCUCCUUGGAGGAAUGAGAAAGGGAAUAACUAAAGGCAGUAAAUUAUGAUAAAGUAAGGGAGGUUACACAAGGCAAGGAGGAAAAUCCAGCCAUGUUUUAUGGCAGGCUGGAGGGAGACUUUAAAAAAUAUACUAAUCUGGACCCUUCCUCUCCCGAAGGCAAAAUAUUAAUAGCACAGCAUUUCAUUAGCCAAUCUGCCCCAGACAUUAGAGAUAAGCUCCAAAAGCUACAGAUGGGGCCACAAACUAAUCAAAAUCAGCUUACUUAUAUCACAUUUAUGGUGUAUAACAAUCGUGACCUGAAGGAAGGAAAAAGGGAACAGAGUAAACAAAAUGGCAAGCCAAAAGUAUGGCAGCCAUCAUUGACGAUGCCCUGAAUGUACAAAGAGUGUCUAAGGGAAACCCGAAGGGCCAUAAAGAUAAUGCCAGCAAAGGCUCUUGCUUCAAAUGCAAGAAAAGAAGACAUUGGGCAAAGGAUUGUGCUAAGUCCCCGCCAGGCCCCUGCCGUCAAUGCAAGGGCACCAGUCAUGACCCCUGGCACUGGAGAAUUGACUGCCCAUGUUCCCACUGAGGGGCUCAGUCAGUCAAAACUCUAGCAGUGCAAAAGGAGGAAUUAGAUGAAGACUGAAGGGGCCUGAGGUCUUCCUCACUGCCCCUGUUCAGGAACAUUGUAAUUACUACUGAGGAGCCCCAGGUAACUCUGGACGUCAUGGGCACCCAAAUUCAGUUUCUUUUUGAUGCAGGAGCAAAUUACUCUGUUCUUACUGCUUAUGCAGUAAGGCGUUCCUCCCAGUCCACAAGUGUUAUGGGAAUAGAAUGGAAGCCACAAACGAGUUUUUAUUUUAUUUUAUUUUAUUUUAUUUUACUUUAAGUUCUGGGAUACAUAUGCAGAAUGUGCAGGUUUGUUACAUAGGUAUACAUGUGCCAUGGUGGUUUGCUGCACCUAUCGACCCAUCAUCUAGGUUUUAAGUCCCACAUGGAUUAGGUAUUUGUCCUAAUGCUCUUCCUCCCCUUGCCCCCAACCCCCCAACAGGCCUUGGUGUGUGAUGUUCCCCUCCCUGUGUCCAUGUGUUCUCAUUGUUCACCUCCCACUUAUUAGUGAGAACAUGCGGUGUUUGGUUUUCUGUUCCUGUGUUAGUUUGCUGAGAAUGAUGGUUUCCAGCUUCAUCCAUGUUCCUGCAAAGGACAUGAACUCAUUCUUUUUUAUGGUUGCGUAGUAUUCCAUGGUGUAUAUGUGCCAUAUUUUCUUUAUCCCGUCUAUCACUGAUGGGCAUUUGGGUUGGUUCCAAGUCUUUGCCAUGGUAAAUAGUGUUGCAGUAAACAUACAUGUGCAUGUAUCUUUAUAAUAGAAUGAUUUAUAAUCCUUUGGGUAUAUAUCCAGUAAUGGGAUUGCUGGGUCAAAUGGUAUUUCUGGUUCUAGAUCCCUGAGGAAUCACCACACUGUCUUCCACAAUGGUUGAACUAAUUUACACUCCCACCAACAGUGUAAAAAUGUUCCUACUUCUCCACAGCCUCACCAGCCUGUUUCCUGACUUUUUAAUGAUCACCAUUCUAACUGGUGUGAGAUGGUAUCUCACUGUGAUUUUGAUUUGCAUUUCUCUAACAACAAGUGAUGAGCAUUUUUUCAUAUGUUUGUUGGCUGCAUAAAUGUCUUCUUUUGAGAAGUGUCUGUUCAUAUCCUUUGCCUACUUUUUGAUGGGGUUGACAAACAAGAUUCAUUACUCCUCCUUUGAUUUGUCAAUUUGAGAAACAACUCUUCCAACAGGAUUUCCUAGUAGUACCAAGCUGCCCAAUCCCCCUGUUGGGAAGAGAUAUUAUGGUUAAAAUGGAGGCACUACUACAAUUUAAGCAUCACCCAUUGAAAUUGCUGAUAGUCAAAAAUACAGUGUUCCAGACCACAUUAAUAAAUAGGUUAACCCGCUGGCAUUGGUAUACUGGAAAACCAGGGAAGGCUAAAACAGCAGUGCCAGUCAAAAUACAUUUUAAAGACCUCAGCUAGUUUCCCAAUUGAAAAUAAUAUCCAAUUAAGCAGGAAGCAAGAAAAGGCCUAGCACCCAUAAUUGAGGUAUUACUUAUUACAUGGGCUCUUAAAAUCCUGUAAUUCCCCUUGCAAUACCUGUUCUAAAGCCUUUGGGGGAAUACCAGUUAGUAUAGGACUGGAGAAUACCGGUUAGUAUAGGACCUGAGAAUAAUUAAUGAGGCUGUUAUCCCCGUCCACCCACUGGUGGCAGAUCCAUAUACCCUUAUGGCUCAGGUACAAGGGGAUGCAAAAUGGUUCUCAGUCCUGGACCUAAAAGAUGCUUUCUUCUCCAUCCCUCUGGCCCCAGAGUCCCAAUACCUUUUUGCCUUUGAAUGGGAAAAUCAAUAUGAGGGAAAAACAGUAAUAUACCUGGACAGUGCACCCUUAGGGCAUUCAGGAUAGCCCCCAUUGGAUUGCCCGAGCCUUAGAGAGGGAUCUGAAGGAUCUGAAAGUGAAAAAUGGGAAUAUACUCCAGUAUGUGGAUGACUUUCUUGUGUGUAGCCCAAACCCAGGAGGUUUCUGACCAAACUACUAUAAAAACUUUGAAUUUCCUGGCAGACAGGGGAUACAAAGUGUCCGACAAGAAGGCACAGAUUAUCCUCCAAUGGGUGCAAUAUUUAGGGUAUGUCUUAACACCCAGAGCCUGACAAAUAUCCCCAGAACGAGAGCAAGCCAUAGGUGGUUUGCCCCCUGCCCCCUCCCCAACCCCCCCACCUGCCACACCUAGUAGCAGCUUUGUUCUUUUUUGGGAAUGGCCAGGUUUUGCAGAAUAUGGGUACCAAAUUUCAGACUCAUAGCAAAGCCCCUAUAUGAAGCAACAAAGGGGCCUGAAGACGAGCUAAAGGAAUGAACCCCAGAAUUGAGAAAAGCCUUUGCCAAGUUAAAACAGGCUCUCGCUCUUGGCAUCCCAGACCUACCUAAGCCCUUCUCUUUGUACGUAGCAGAGAAGAAGGGCAUAGCUGUGGGUGUACUAGCCCAGACAUUAGGAUCAGAACCCAGACUAACCACUGACUUUCCAAAGAAGUUGGAUGGAGUGGCCUCGAGGUGACCAAGUUGCCUGCGGCCAACAGCAGCCACUGCUAUGUUAGUGGAGGAAGCCACUGAAAUCGCUCUGAGCCAACCACUGGAAGUUCUCACCCCCUCAUCAGGUUAAGUCUGUCUUAGAGAUAAAGGGACACAUCUGGAUGACAGGGGAAAGAUGAACCAAAUACCAGGCCAUGUUCCUAGACAAUCCAGAUGUAACCCUUAAAACCUGCAACACUUUGAAUCCAGCUUCAGUGCUGCCCACAGGCCCAAUAACUGAUCAUUCCUGCAAGCAGGUCAUUGCACAUACACAAUGUUAGCCAGCCUGCUUUAAAAGACAAGCCUCUCCCAGAUUCUGAGGAUGAGUGGUUCACAGAUGGCAGUAGUUUUGUGUCAAAUGGGGUUUGACACAGCACUGAGCUGGAUAUGCAGUAGUAAUUAUCGAAGCCCAGCCACUGCUCCUUGGCACAUCAGCACAAAAGGCUGAAAUCAUUGCUCUUACUUGAGCAUUAAUGUUGGUACAAGGAAAAAAGCUUAACAUCUAUAUCGAUUCUAAAUAUGCAUUCCUUGUGGUUCAUGUUCAUGCUACAGUCUGGAAAGAAAAGGGAUUUCUAACUAGAAAACAGUCCUCUAUAAAGCCUGGGCCUGAAAUUCUUCAGCUAUUGGAAGCAAUACACUUGCCAAAGGCCGUAGCUCUAAUUAAUUGUUGGGGUAUCAAAGGGACUUAACCCCUAUAGCACAAGGGAACAGAAAGGCUGAUAAAGAACCAAAGCCGCAUCCCUCAGGGUGCCAUCCCAACAGACCCUAGCCCUACUUCCUUUCUAUGAUUUCCCAACAGAACCUGAGUACACAGUACAGAAAGAACAGUUAAUAGAGGAACAAGGGGGACACAAAAAAAGGAUCCUGGUGGCAUAUGGGGUCAAAAACAUAUCUCCCUCAGACAGCCCAGUGGAAAGUUAUAAAAGCCGUGCAUGCCUCUUUCCAUGUGGGGAGGGAUGCAACUCUGGCCAUUUAAACCAGCUCUUUACUGGGUCUAACUUAGCUUCAGUGGCUAAGCAGGUUUGCUAGGCCUGCUCCCUGUGUGCACUUAACAACCUAGGAAACAACAUGCCUCCUCUAAUAGAACCAGUGCAGAGGAGAGGAACUUAUCCAGGGGGAGACUGGCAAUUAGACUUCACCCAUAUGCCAGCUUGCAGAGGACAUGAGUUUUUGUUAGUACUAAUAGAUAUCUUUACUGGUUGGGUCGAAGUUUAUCCUACCAGAACAGAGAAGGUUAAUGAGGCUAUAAAGGUUCUCUUAAAAGAAAUAAUCCCCGGGUUUGGGUUACCUCAGAGCCUCCAAAUUGAUAAUGGCCCGUCCUUUAUCUCCCAGCUAACUCAAGGGGUUGCUAAGUCUCCUGGAAUCAAGUACUAUCUACAUUCAGCAUGAAGGCCUCGAUCCUUGGGGAAAGUAGAAAGGGCUAACCAAACUUUAAAACGAGUGUUAGCUAAGCUAUGUAAGGAAACAUCAGAAACUUGGGUCAGCUUACUGCCCAUAGCCCUCUUAAGGACCCAUAAUACCCCUACAGCAAAAAUUAAUAUAAACCCAUAUGAAAUAUUAUGUGGAAGGCCAUUCUUAACUAAUGAUUUAAUUACUGAUCCAGAAACAGUUGGUUUAGUAAAAUACCUAGUCAAUCUAGGACAGUUUCAACAGGCUUUACAAACGUUUGGAAUGCAAAGUCUCCCCACACUGGGAACAAUCAGCAACUUAAAAUCAGGUCAGGAAAUAAGGUACUUCUUAAAACAUGGAAAGAGGGAUCACCUGCUCAACAAUUACAACCCAAACGGAAGGGACUGUUUUCAGUGGCACUGGCCAUGCCUUCUGCAGUGAAAGUACUAGGAUUAGAUAGCUGGAUACAUCUUUCAAGGAUCAAGAGAGUGAUACCAGAAGCCCUGGACCAGGAACCCGAAGUUGCCAUCUGCCUCUACACCUGUGAACCUGUGGAAGACUUCAUGAAGUACCUGUUUAGAAGACAGUCAAAAGAAAAGUAAAUGCCUACCAAUUUUCCUUGGUGUCUUUGUUGCAUAGUUACUAUAGGCUGGAUAAUAGUGCCAUUUUUAAAAAUGUUUUAUUUUUGCAGUUUCAUUGCCUUCUUCCAAAUGGAUGGAAUCACUUCCUUUGUAGUAAUUAAGCAGAAUGUUUUAAUACAUUUCUAUAACAAACAUUCCUGACGGCAUAGGUAUCCACCCCCAAAGUUCCCAUUAAAUCUUUUAACCAAAUUCAUUUCCUGUUGCACAGAGACCAUCAAGCUUCAGAUGAUCAUGUGACAGGGUUUCCAGCCAGUUCCAGGUGAAGACACCACCCCUGGCCAUCAAGAAGUCACCCGGUCUCCACUAGACAGAGUAGGGUGAGAGUUCCGUGAUCUCCAACCGGUAGUGAUUAUGCCCCAAGUCAGCAUAAAGAAGUUACGGAAGAAAAACCAUCAGUCCCUCUGUCUCACAUAAAGACUUAUGGGGAUCACGUUUCUCAGAGGGGAGAUGAGGCAGGAGAAUAGGGUCUGGAGGCAGGGAACCUAAGGCCGUUUCACACUGACUUCUUAGAACUAAAUUGAAAGGAAAACCCUAAUUUUCCAUGCCUAAGUAACAAAAGGACCAGAGGCUACUCCCUUUGCAAACCCCCACCUUUUCUGUGUGGCAUAUGGGAAAUUGAAAGUACCUCUGAUUGAUUGUUUUCUGCAACCAAUCAGAUGUUUGCAUUGGAGUGUAACUUUGUAAUUUCACUUCAGUCUCUGAUUGGUUGCUGCAGUCUGGAAAUUCUGCAGGCCAAGUCUUCGUUUGCAUAGAAGUGCAACUUUGUAACUUCAUCUUAGCCUCUGAUUGGUUGCUUUCUGCAACCAAUCAGAUGUUUGCAUAGGCGUGUGACCUUUGUAACUUCACUUCAGCUUCUGAUUGGUUGCUUUCCACAACCAAUCAGACUGAUUGUGGGCCACCACUUCCUUUACGUGAGGUGAACACCAAGUGGCCAAUGGAAAACCUCAAGAGGGUAUUUGGACCUGAGAAGAUUCUGUAUCUGGGGCCCUUGAGCUGCUGCUCUGCCCACUCUCACAUGGUGGAGUGUAAUUUCACUUUGAAUAAAUCUCUGCUUUUGUUGCUUCAUUCUUUCCUUGCUUUGCUGUGUAUUUUGUCCAAUUCUUUGUUCAAAACGCCAAGAACCUGGACAACUUGCAGUCAAGACCCUCUACCAGUAACACUAGUUGUAUCCCUGUAAAUGAAUGGGCUUUGAAGAUUUUCUAGAAGAAAAAGAUCACCUCAUUGUCCUUCAUUUUUUGACAUAAAACUGUGAUAGCCCAAUAGAUAAAAUGUGAGUUAUCGAUCACCCCUGGAAAGGAUUAGGAUAUGCCACUCCAAAAUAUGCCACGUUUAUUUUGCACUGAAGGCAAUUGAGAAACAGUAGACACAGGAAGAGCUCUCUGCUUUUCCCCUUUUUACCUAAAAGCAGAGAAUAAAUUUCCUUUUGGAAAGAUGACAUACAUUUUCCUUUAUAAAGGUGUUCCCUUCUCCUCUACCAGGAAGAUCUGAGAUGGCACCAAAAUGAAUCUGCCUAACAAACCUUACUGCACAAUUCUUAGCUACCAUACAUUUCAUAGUCACCUUCCCAUAAUUUACUGCCCUUAGGAGCCCAAGUCCCUUUCCUUUGACUAUCACCUCUCCACAAUUUAUUGCCCUUUGUUAAAAUGAUAUAUAAGCUCCUUCAUUUAACUACAUCUUUGGGUUUUCACUUCUUAUCUUUGAUGCUACGAUGCAUGUAAAAAUAUUAAUAAAAUUUGUGUGCUUUUUCUCCUGUUAAUUGUAUGUCUUUUAUCAACUUAAAUUACAGGCCCCAAGUACAUAAUUAAGAGAGUAAAAGGCUGGGCACGGUGGCUGAUGCCUGUAGUCCCAGCACUUUGGGAGGCCAAGGCAGGCAGAUCACAAGGUCAGGAGAUCGAGACCAUCCUGGCUAACAUGGUGAAACCCCGUCUCUACUAAAAAAUAAAAAAAAAUUUAGCCAGGCGUGGUGGCGGGCGCCGGUAGUCUCAGCUACUCGGGAGGCUGAGGCAGGAGAAUGGCGUGAACUCGGGAGGCAGAGCUUGCAGUGAGCGGAGAUCUUGCCACUGCACUCCAGCCUGGGCAACAGAGCAAGGCUCCAUCUCAAAAAAAAAAAAAAAAAAGAGAGAGAGAGAGUAAAAGUUUUUCCUCUCCUACACCUCCUUCCCUGUUAGUCUAAAUACUAUAGCUUGGACAUAAAACUUAUCCUGAACAGUAGGCUUAUAAAUGCAACUAGCGGCCGGAUACAGUGGCUCACACCUGUAAUCCUAGCACUUUGGGAGGCCGAGGCGGGUGGAUCACCUGAGGUCAGGAGUUCAAGACCAGCCUGGCCAACAUGGAGAAACCCUGUCUCUACUAAAAAUACAAAAAUUAGCUGGGCAUGGUGGCACACAUGUGUAAUCCCAGCUACUCAGGAGGCUGAGACUGGAGAAUUGCUUGAACCCAGGAGGCAGAGGUUGCAGUAAGCCAAGAUCACUCCACUGCACUUCAGCCCGGGCAUCAGAGCAAGACUCCAACUCAAAAAUAAAUAAAAUAAAAUAAUUAAAUAAAUGCAACUCAUGGUAGAUUGGAGCCGAGGUAUGAAAAACGUUAAGCUUUAGGAUAAAUAAUGGUUCUCAGGACAUAACUUAGCUAACAUACAAGCUAUUUAUAAGCUAACAUAGAAGUUGCAACCAGAAGGGGGAUUCUUUUGGCCAGCAGAACCUGGAAAAAUGAAAGCCACAGAGGCAAAUACUAAAGUAUCACUCAGGAAAGACAAGAGUGUAGCUCUGUGACAUAGAUGGAUAUAUUCUAAUCAUAAAACUAAUUUUACUUCUUCCAAAUUUAUGCCCACAAACCAACUUUCUGCUUUUUUCUUGUCUCGUAUGCAUUUUUUAACUUAAUAAUCUUUAAACACUUUUAUAAGAGUUUUUAUAUUCUGCAUAGAAACACUUUGUUAGCUAUAUGAAUUGCAAAUAUUGCUUUAUCAAAAGAUUCCUAGAGUCAUGAAAGAAAGCAAACAAAGUGCUAAUAUUGUGGUUCAUUGCUUCACUUAUAAGAUAAAAUGCAUACCAUUUAUCAAUCUAUAAACAAUGUCUCAAUUUGAGGUUGAAUGUUAGAGUUUACCCGGUAAUCUAGUAUUUCUCUAGAAAUGUCAAAAAAAAGGGCAAAAUUAUAUAGUACAGAGGAGUGAGUGGCUGGAGGUUGUCUAGACAAGGUACCCACUGGAUGCCAUUAUCUUGGUGAAAAAGAGAAAGAGAAAAGCAGUCACUGACAUGAGGAGUUGGCCUGGUUCUUACAGAUAGGACUUGGCAUUCUCCUGUCAAAUAUAAGCAAUUUCACAGAACAUGAACAUUAGACAACGCCGUGUUGUGAUGUUGAUGUAGCAAGACGAAAACACUGUAACCCUCUGUAAUCAUGUCUCAACAAUCCACUACAACCCGAAUGUGGUCCAAACCACAAAAUAACCAAACAUCCUCUGUCUUGCCUAAGAGUAGUGACUGCUGCCUCUUUAGCAAUCACAACUUAAGCCUCAGACUAGUCUGCCCUCCUUCUAGAUAAGAGUUAUUAGAUAUCUAAUUUUAAGAAUUACCCCCUGCUUCCUGACAGCAUUUGAUCCAGAGCAAAGCUCCACCUCUUUAAAACGCUCCCCAAACCACAAAACACAAGCUCAAUUCUUAUAAAUUUCUUUCCAAUCCCCUCUUACUGAGAUGUCCCAUCGUUCCUCAUAGUGUGCGUUCUCCCUUGCUGCAACAAGGAAAUAAACCCAACUAUAGUUGUGUUCCUGGUGGUCUUUAGCUGAAGAGCAUUGACACUGCAGAAUCCAGGAGAAUCCAGGACAAUUCAAGAGCUGGAGACAGCUUACUUGUCAGGACACUAAAAAUAGACCUAUCUCUCAAGGGUGAAUUUGUAUUAGCCACAGACACAGAAACUGAUGGAUAAGUAACAUUACUAAUUUGUUAAUUAAUAAAAAUGAAAUAAAGCCCUGGAAGAGUCAGAAAAGACAAAUGUAUAGAGUGAGAAAGUAGAUGAAUGGUUUCCUGAAGGUGGGUGUGGAAAGGGGAAUUAAAUGUUAAAGGGCAUGAGUGGUCUUAUUGGGGU